UAACAAGGAUUCCCCUAGUAACUGCGAGUGAAGCGGGAAAAGCUCAAAUUUAAAAUCUGGCAGUCUCUGGCUGUCCGAGUUGUAAUCUAGAGAAGCGUUAUCCGCGCUGGACCGUGUACAAGUCUCCUGGAAUGGAGCGUCAUAGAGGGUGAGAAUCCCGUCUUUGACACGGACUGCCAGGGCUUUGUGAUGCGCUCUCAAAGAGUCGAGUUGUUUGGGAAUGCAGCUCAAAAUGGGUGGUAAAUUCCAUCUAAAGCUAAAUAUUGGCGAGAGACCGAUAGCGAACAAGUACCGUGAGGGAAAGAUGAAAAGAACUUUGGAAAGAGAGUUAAACAGUACGUGAAAUUGCUGAAAGGGAAACGCUUGAAGUCAGUCGCGUUGGCCAGGGAUCAACCCUUGCUUCUGCUUGGUGUACUUCCUGGUUGACGGGUCAGCAUCAAUUUUGACCAUUGGAAAAAGGUCAGGGGAAUGUGGCAUCCUCGGAUGUGUUAUAGCCCUUGGCUGCAUACAAUGAUUGGGAUUGAGGAACUCAGCACGCCGCAAGGCCGGGUUUUUAACCACGUACGUGCUUAGGAUGCUGGCAUAAUGGCUUUAAUCGACCCGUCUUGAAACACGGACCAAGGAGUCUAACAUGCCUGCGAGUGUUUGGGUGGAAAACCCGAGCGCGCAAUGAAAGUGAAAGUUGAGAUCCCUGUCGUGGGGAGCAUCGACGCCCGGACCAGACCUUUUGUGACGGCCCCGCGGUAGAGCAUGUAUGUUGGGACCCGAAAGAUGGUGAACUAUGCCUGAAUAGGGUGAAGCCAGAGGAAACUCUGGUGGAGGCUCGUAGCGAUUCUGACGUGCAAAUCGAUCGUCAAAUUUGGGUAUAGGGGCGAAAGACUAAUCGAACCAUCUAGU
rnacentral:rRNA from 1 species